rnacentral:lncRNA from 1 species
UGUCCAGGUGAGAUUUGUCGACCCUUCUGACUGCAAAUUGGAUUUCCUCCUAGCUAGGGGGCCUUCUGGAGCCAAACAAGAGGAAUAGCGAUAUUUCCACAAGCCUGUUUGAACCUCAGUAGAAAGGAUUGGAUCCCGAUCAAGGCUCAAGUGAUUUUUCUUCUUCUCCAGAGCAGUUCUUAACUUAUGCCAAAUGAUUUACUUACUUCUACAUACACUGCCCUUGUCUUGUUUACAACAUUUAUAGCAAAUUUGUGCACACCUCUUGCUGUUAGGUAUAUGUAAAGGCACAACAUUCAGCCUCUCGCACCCCCCACCCCAUAAUAUGUAGCACAGAGGAAAUACCUGGUUAGAAGGGUGAUUUCAGGCUAUCCUGUGGGUCAGUUUAUCAGAGUUGUUUCACUGAGUUGUCUGCUUAAAAUUACUAUAAUAUAAAAAUGUGUGUGGAAAGAACAGCUGCAACAACAACAACAACAACAACAACAGAAAGACAUUAACUACUUAUUUCUGAGCCUGGAUGUAAAUAUCUGCUCUUGGAAUACUCACCCAUUUCCUUCUUAACAACCCCAAAGUGCUUAGUAUAACUCAUCUAAUAUCUAUGGUUAAAACCUGUGCAAAUUGAAAUAAUUUUAGUUGCUAUGGCAAAUGAUAAUAUUUAAUGGUUCAAUGUGAAUCCUGAAAAAGAUUGAUGUGAGCGUCAAAUCUGAAAGGAAGCAAUCACCCCAAUAAAAAUGUAUUGUAGAAAGUGAUAUUUUAAACAGACCAGUAACAACAAUAAGCCUCUCUACAUUUAUCUCUUCCUUUUCUUGCUUCAGUGGCACAGCCAUAGAAGUAUGGGGGGGUGGGAGGAUCUUGGAAAUGUGCAGGUACAAGCAAUUCCUCCAUGCCUAGCUUGUUCUACUGCAUGAAUGACUAACCUAUAUAGAUGGUUUCUGACUAUCAUAGAAUGAUAGACUAUUUAUAGAGUUGGAAGAGACCACAAGGGUCAUCUAGUCCAACCACCUAUAAUGCUCAUCUCCCAUCAUCUCUGACUGUGUUGGCUAUGCUGGUUGCAGGAGAUGGGAGUUGGAGUUGAUCAACAGCUGGACCACAGGUUCCCCGUUUCAGCUGUAGGACAAGGGUGGCUUACCUGUGAUCCUCCGGAUGAUGUUGGACUCAAAGUUCCCCUAAGUCCCAGACAGUAUAGCCAGUGGUCCCUCAACAUCUAGAGGGCAACAUCUGGAGAGCACAUCUUCGCAUUGGCUUGUCUGACAUGGGACUCCAGAGGAUUCUGGGUGUGUUGUAGUCUUCUUAUUUGUUCCAUGCAUGAUAUUGACCAAGGGUUUAUCCAUAUUUGCCUCCUCUCUUUCCAGGCAUGCUCUUUGCUUUAACGCUCUGUGUCCAAGUGUUCUUUGUUUUGCUCCAGAGCUCUUUAAAGCUCUUUAAAGCUCAACUGGAGCAAACAGCAAUCUGCAGAAGACUCAAAUUCACAUUUGCUCCAAUUGAGUGCUAAAGAGCAGAUUUUCAUGGAGAAAGCAAGCAAGCAAGCAAGCAAGCAAACCUACAAUGCUCAGCCACAGAGCUUGUGAGUGUGGAUCUGUGCCUGGAAAGAGUGGGACAAAUGGUAAGUGUAGAUAAGCUCCAAGUCCAUGGAAUCUCAUUGCUAUCAUGCGUGAACGUGCAGCUGGUGGAAGGUAGGGUCAGUUUCUAUGGCUCACAACUCCAUAGCUCAGUGAUAGAACAUCUAUUUUGCAUGCAGACGGUCCAGAUCCAAUCCCUGGCAUCAUUAGGUAUAGCUGGGAAUGCUCCCUGGAGAGUAAAUACAGCCCAGAAGAGCCAGUCAUUGUUGACAGUAUUGAAUGAGAUGGACCAAUGGUCUGAUUCAGUACAAGACAGCCCUGUGUUCCUAAUCCCCUCAUGCAUGUGCUUAAUGGAUUCAACUGGACCGCCUCAGCACAAGCCCAAGGGACAGGUCGCUCACUGAUGUAUAACAUUCAGAAUGGCAUCCUGUCUUAUGCAAGCCUCAUGGUAGUGCUUAGGCUGGAGAGAUUCCUCAUAGAUUGUGCCAUUAGUGGAUCAGAUCUGCCUGUGUCUCACUUUGCUAUCCUUAUUGAUAUUUGGAAUGUGCUCUUUAAGACCAAUGCUUCAGCAUGUCUUCAUUUUAGAAGAGUCUCUCAUAUGACCACCAAUAUCCAUUUUGCAAGAAGAGGGCAAAUCAAAAAAUGCCUGGACAAAUAGCUUAUAGGAAUUUGGCUAUUAUUUAUUCAUGUUCUAUCUGUAGUUAUGUGAAAUAAUGAGGAGCCUCUAGUGAACAAGAAAUGCCUGGUUACAUCCAUCUCCUGAUUACACCAGAGCAUUGAACCAGGGAUCAUCUUCAGUCAUGCUGAAAAAGAAGCGCAUUAAAGGCCUACUGGUUAAAUACCAAACUUCUAUAUUACACUGUUCUCAUUAACUGCUGAAAUACAGUGAUGCAUCUUUCAAUGUUCGUUUUAAGCUACUUGGGGGAGAAAACAUCAAAGUGUUAUUGAUUUCAUUGUAUCACCCCCCCCCUUCCCCUUCCUCUUUGUUUGUUUUUUUUUUCUUUCCAAAUACAGCACACAUGCAGAGCAAAUAAAUGAUUGAUUUAAUUCUAGCAGAGGGAUGGGUUGAUAGAUCUUUUAAUGAGGCACAAGUGUUUAUGUUGUAGGGUAUUUGCAUUUGCAUUUUAAUAUUGAAUGCAAAGGAGUAGGAAGAAAACAGAUUUGCAAAUCCUUAGCAUCUUCUUCAUUUCUAAUGAAGCUACUCCUUUGAGUAGAUCCCAUUGCACUGAACCCAAAUUAGACACAUGUGUGCACCGUGUUUUAGAACAUUCAAAGCACUUUACAUGUGUUAUCCUGAAUCCUUACAAAAACAAACACCUUCAAAUGUCUGACAGGUUGUCAGAUGGAAGAGGGAAGUAACCUAUUCUGUCCUACUGCUCCAAAGGAAGAGAAUGUGUUACUGGUUUCCACUAGAAACAUAGAACACUGCCUUAUGUCAAGAGACACCAUUUGUCCAUUUUACUUUGUAUUGUCUCUUCCAGGCAUGGAGAACCUGUGGCCCUCCAUGUAUUGGACUCCAUUCCUACCAUCCCUGGCCAUUGGCUAUGCUGACUAUGGCUGAUGGGAGACGGAAGGCCACAUAUUGUUUAUUCCCAGUCUACCUUAAACUGGCACUGGCUUUCCAGGGAUUCAGAAAGCAAUCUACCCCCAUCAUGUACUAUGUGAUCAUUUAAAUUCGGACCUUCAACAUGCAACAGAGCAACCAAUAUACUGUAGCAAGCAUGGUUCUUCUGUAGUUCAUUGUUCUGUCCAAAAAUGUCAAAAACAAGCAGUUGAUGUUUUAACAUUUAAAUGACAUAUUAUUAGUUGAAUACAUUUGAACAUAUUGGACUGCCUGUAUUUAGGCUCUGGCUGUUUGGCAUUGAUUCUAUCACUCAGUUUUCUCCCCCCACAACCCAUGUACUUUUAAGACCCCAUCAGCACAACAUUUCUAGCUCCUGCCUUGAUUCCAAUUCAUUUUCAUGUUGGAUUUCUUUAUUUUGCAAAUAGACUUAGCCUUUGCUUUUGGGUGAUUCCCUUCGGAUUCUGUUCCAUAAUGGUGUGCUAAUGUAAGUUAUGCUCAAAGACCCUUGGUAUUUGAAGACAUAGCAGAAUAUAAGCAAGGGGGGAGGAAAUUGCUCCUUUGUGUCUGGCACUGUAAGAGGCUAGAACAGUGCCGUGUAAUUAAAGGCAGUGGAAGGCGCCCUGGGACUCAGAGCCUGCUUCUUCCACAGGUCAGGUUUUGAACUUAACUCCCUGGAAUUACUGUUAAUCUAAACCACUUAUUGACUUGAACAGGGACAGAGUGUGAAGGUUGGAGACUUGAGGGCUAAAGGCGACACAUAACAAGCAAGUUUAUUUUGUCUCCAUACAUGAAUGAAUGGACAUGAAUGUUGCUACAUUUGUUAUUCCCUCCACCCUUGAAGCAUGUUCUUCUUUUUAAGGGAAACGCCCACCCCACAGUUUUGGAGGGGAUUAUAGAGCGCAAUAUCAGGCAUAUUUAGAAUUUAAUGGUUUUCCUCAAUGGACCCAAAUCUUACAAAAUCUCCUAUAUAGACACUGAAAAAUUAGGAUUCUUCAAAUCAAUGGACAUUUGUGAAGAGUUCCGAAAAAUAUAGGGAAAACAAGUAAUUGAACUUCUCAGAAGUAUCUCCCCCCCCCCCCCCCGUGAGGCUAGAAUUAGGAAAUAAAUUUGAUUCAAUUCACAUUUUAUUAAUUUUAUAAAAAUCUAUGCACUGCUUGAUUGUAAAACACACACACACUCCAAAGCAGUUUACAAAAAGAAUAAAAUGAUCAGUAAAAAAAAAGUUAAAAGAAACAGCUAUUUAAAACAUUCAAAUAAUAGUUAAAAUCAACAAUUA